rnacentral:lncRNA from 1 species
CUUCUCAUGUUGUGAUGUGCUGUUGGGCAUUUGAAGUUGUACUGCACGAGCUAAGGACUGUCGACGGAUUGUUAAAAAUAAAGAAACACAUGAUUCCAUGAUGUAUGAAGAAAAAUCAUUGUUAUCACACAACAUUUCCCAGUAAUAAUUUAACAUAUGUGCGGAAACUAUAACUUCUUUCAGGUUUGAUAGCAUAAGUGUUUGGGAAUUCACAUUGCCAAGGUCAAUACUUUGCCGGAGAACAGUUUCACAAUGCCGGAUGAAAUAGUAAAAGUUGUCACUUGGAAUUUUGAGUCCUCCUCUGUGUAAUUUCUCGGUCCACUCCGCAAACUUUUUUACAUGCUCUUGUAACAUUGAUGAUUGUUUAACCACAACAUUUGUCAUAGCUUCACGAAUUUUUAUGGUUUUUCAAGUUUUUGUGUUGGUAUGUUUUCUUCUGACGUUUUGAAAUUAUAUACCCUGAAAUGUAGUAUAGCACUGAUUGGUUUGAAUUUGUCAUUGUGCUAUCUAGCUUGGUUGCAUUCUUUUGGUACAGCUGUGCACGAGAGACAUCAAUAGGGCAUCUUGUAGCACAGAUAAAAACAGUUUGGCGGAAAGUUCACCUUCAAAUUCAAUGUUCUCAAAUUCAGAUAUAACAAUGGCAGAUGACUUAGAUUGAAACUCACUAUUAACUGUUAUUUUAUAAAAAAAAAAUGAGAAAAGUU